GAAAUGCGAUAAGUAAUGUGAAUUGCAGAAUUCAGUGAAUCAUCGAAUCUUUGAACGCACCUUGCGCUCCUUGGUAUUCCUUGGAUCAUGCCUGUUUGAGUAUCAUGAAAUCUUCAAAGUAAAUCUUUUGUUAACUCAAUUGGCUUCUACUUUGGUAUUGGAGGUCUUUGCAGCUUCACACCUGCUCCUCUUUGUUCAUUAGCUGGAUCUCAGUGUUAUGCUUGGUUCCACUCGGCGUGAUAAGUUAUCUAUCGCUGAGGACACUGUAAAAGGUGGCCAAGGUAAAUGCAGAUGAACCGCUUCUAAUAGUCCAUUGACUUGGACAAUACUUUUAUGAUCUGAUCUCAAAUCAGGUAGGACUACCCGCUGAACUUAAGC
rnacentral:misc_RNA from 1 species